rnacentral:rRNA from 1 species
UGAUCCCCACGCUUUCGCACCUCAGCGUCAGUAUCGAGCCAGGAGGCCGCCUUCGCCACUGGUAUUCCUCCAUAUAUCUACGCAUUUCACCGCUACACAUGGAAUUCUACCUCCCUCUCUCGUACUCUAGUCGGCCAGUAUCAACUGCAGUUCCCAGGUUGAGCCCGGGGCUUUCACAGCUGACUUAACAAACCGCCUACGCGCGCUUUACGCCCAGUAAUUCCGAUUAACGCUCGCACCCUCCGUAUUACCGCGGCUGCUGGCACGGAGUUAGCCGGUGCUUCUUCUAAAGGUAAUGUCAGAGCUUGGCGCUAUUAACGACAAACUUUUCUUCCCAAUUGAAAGUGCUUUACAACCCUAAGGCCUUCUUCACACACGCGGCAUGGCUGCGUCAGGCUUUCGCCCAUUGCGCAAUAUUCCCCACUGCUGCCUCCCGUAGGAGUCUGGACCGUGUCUCAGUUCCAGUGUGGCUGAUCAUCCUCUCAGACCAGCUAAGGAUCGUCGCCUUGGUGGGCCUUUACCCCACCAACUAGCUAAUCCUACGCAGGCUCAUCCGAUAGCGCGAGGCCCGAAGGUCCCCCGCUUUCCCCCUUAGGGCGUAUGCGGUAUUAGCUUGAGUUUCCCCAAGUUGUCCCCCACUACCAGGUAGAUUCCUACGCGUUACUCACCCGUCCGCCGCUCUACUCAGCCCGAAAGCUUUUCGCGCUCGACUUGCAUGUGUUAGGCCUGCCGCCAGCGUUCAAUCUGAGCCAGGAUCAAACUCU